UCAUCGAACGCCUCAACGCCAUGAUCGUUCAAGAGUCGACGACACCAUCAUGCUUCAACUAUUUCAA
rnacentral:tRNA from 1 species